UCCUCAUAUCAUGCCUUUUUAUUUUUGAUUUUUGUGAUAUUCUCUUUGCUUUAUCAGGUGAAUAUAAAUAUAUACUCCUUUAUUUAUUGGUCUUUUCUAAAAAUGCUAGAUAGUACUAUUAUAUACAUGUUGUCUUUGGUUCUUUGAUGUUAUUAGAGUAUUGCGCUUACUGAGAUUAUUUUGUAUGAAUUGCUUUGACAAAUGAGGGAGGCUGCUUAUUCAAAAUUUUAUCUUGCUACUGAGUUUUUUGUUUCAGCUAUUGUGUCUUUUAAAAAGCAGGUUGAAUAACAAACAAAUUUUGAUCCAUCUGUUGAGAUUUUGAUCCGUUUACUUUGUGUUAUUCCUGGCUGGAAUGAGAAAAAUGUUCAGGUCCAGCAACAAGUUAUUGAUAUUGUCACUCACAUUGCUGCGACGUUGUGCUUUGCCUUUCAGGUAUCACUCAUAGAGUAGCUGACAUAAAGACUCGUGUUCAGGCCAUGAAGUGUCUUUCCACUUAUUGUGAAGAUGUGGGUCUUGGUUUUAUUUUUGAGAGGUCAUGCUUAAACAUGAAAUCUAAUGAGGCUAGCCUUGGUAUGCGGCCUUGGUGUAACCUCAGAUGAGAUUUCCGCGUGCCCUACGCAGAGGCGCGCCAUAGUAAACCAUGAUAUUGGUAUUUGGUUGCAUUGGGGUGGCUCAAAAGAGGUAUUUCUGUCUGAUGUUAAACCUGCUUUACUACGAGGCAUCUGCAAUUCCAAAGAAGGUUGUUAAAGUAACUUAUUCUACAUCAUCUGCGGUGACUGGCAUGGAUCGUCUUCCACGUGAAGAUAUAGUGAAAAGAUCACUCCCACUUUGUUUUAGAGAGUUCUGAUUGGAAGGUCCGCUUCGAAUCUAUUGGAAGUGUAACCAAAAUUCUAGAAGAGGUGAACAAACUUAUUCUGCUCGCUGGAACUGGGCAUUCUUUCAGAUGUCUUGAAAUGCCUUGGCGAUAACAAAAAGCAUAUGCCUGUUCGUAAAGCGGCUGAAGCAUGCUUUAAUGUAUUGAGGGUUCGUGGACAAGAAACGGUAUCAAAAAAUUUGAGAGAUAUACAAGGUUCUGCUACUUAUUAGCAAACGACUGAAGCCAUAUUGAGCUUUUCAAGAUAAUUAUGAAUCUGGUGGAUCUGUUUUGUCAAGUAUCACGUCCGAAAGCAUCCUAAAGACAGCAAAACCAAAUGGUCAUGGCGACUGCGAAUCUUGGCAUUGAAGUAGAAAUGCGUCUUCAAGAGCUGUACCUAACAAGGGAUCCAUGCAAGAAACCAUCUUGUCUGUUCAAGACAUCAACAUUCGGUCACAAGUUUUGUUCAGCAAGGUGAUAAUUUUUGGAGAUAUGCUGGGAAGCUUACUGAGGAACAAAGAAGUAUGUUGGAUGAUAGAAAUAAAUUGAAGACCUCUGGAUCCAUCAAGAUGUCCAUCUCCAGCAUCAAAUGAUUCUCUUGCGAUCAGAAACCUGAAGUUCUCUUAUUUGGUUGUUAAAUGUUUAAUAAAGCUCCUAAAGGUGCUUCAGUCUUUUAGUUCUUAGUCAGAUUCUACACGACACUAUGUUCUUUUGGUCAGGUGUCUCAAUAUUUUAGGCUUAUUAUGAAACUGGUGUCUGAGCGGAAGUGUUUGAGAGCAGGUCAAGGAGCCCGAACCAGAAGCUGUUCCUAAGGCUGUGGGUUCUGUACCCACUGAAGAGAGUGUAGCUGAUGCACCUCACCUCAGGAGAUAGAUAAGUAUGACCUUAUCGAUCCAGUUGAUAUAUUAAAGACAUUGGAGAAGUCUGGAUUUUGGGAAGCAGUGAACGCUUCAAAAUCGUGUGAGAGGAAAGUUGCUGAACUAACCGAACAUGCAUCCACCAAAAAAUUGCUCCAUGAGAUUUUUUCAGAAGUUUGUCGAACAUACUGGAGAUCUAUUUGGAGCUCUAAAAGGGUGUCUACGCGACGGUAACAAAAAUUUGAUAAUUGCCACUUUGUCCACAAUUGGUGCUCUUUGGACUACAAUGGGACAGCCAGUUGAAAAGUCAAGCUAGGGCAUUUUGGACCAUAGCUCCAGUGACGGCUUUGGACACAAUAUCAGCUAUUGUGUCUUUUAAAAAGCAGGUUGAAUAACAAACAAAUUUUGAUCCAUCUGUUGAGAUUUUGAUCCGUUUACUUUGUGUUAUUCCUGGCUGGAAUGAGAAAAAUGUUCAGGUCCAGCAACAAGUUAUUGAUAUUGUCACUCACAUUGCUGCGACGUUGUGCUUUGCCUUUCAGGUAUCACUCAUAGAGUAGCUGACAUAAAGACUCGUGUUCAGGCCAUGAAGUGUCUUUCCACUUAUUGUGAAGAUGUGGGUCUUGGUUUUAUUUUUGAGAGGAUGAGAUUUCCGCGUGCCCUACGCAGAGGCGUGCCUUAGUAAACCAUGAUAUUGGUAUUUGGUUGCAUUGGGGUGGCUCAAAAGAGGUAUUUCUGUCUGAUGUUAAACCUGCUUUACUACGAGGCAUCUGCAAUUCCAAAGAAGGUUGUUAAAGUAACUUAUUCUACAUCAUCUGCGGUGACUGGCAUGGAUCGUCUUCCACGUGAAGAUAUAGUGAAAAGAUCACUCCCACUUUGUUUUAGAGAGUUCUGAUUGGAAGGUCCGCUUGGAAUCUAUUGGAAGUGUAACCAAAAUUCUAGAAGAGGUGAACAAACUUAUUCUGCUCGCUGGAACUGGGCAUUCUUUCAGAUGUCUUGAAAUGCCUUGGCGAUAACAAAAAGCAUAUGCCUGUUCGUAAAGCGGCUGAAGCAUGCUUUAAUGUAUUGAGGGUUCGUGGACAAGAAACGGUAUCAAAAAAUUUGAGAGAUAUACAAGGUUCUGCUACUUAUUAGCAAACGACUGAAGCCAUAUUAUGCUUUUCAAGAUAAUUAUGAAUCUGGUGGAUCUGUUUUGUCAAGUAUCACAUCCGAAAACAUCCUAAAGACAGCAAAACCAAAUGGUCAUGGCGACUGCGAAUCUUGGCAUUGAAGUAGAAAUGCAUCUUCAGUCUGUGGUUAAUAUCUUUCUUCUGAACCAUAAUGUAUUUGUCCAUUGAUGUCGUGUUUAUUUAGAGAGCUGUACCUCACAAGGGAUCCAUGCAAGAAACCAUCUUGUCUGUUCAAGACAUCAACAUUCUGGCACAAGUUUUGUUCAGCAAGAUUCAAACUCGAAGAAUUGCAUAUAGAGCAAAUUCAAGAUCUUGAGGUUUCUGCUCUAUUUUAAGGUUUCUUUAUUAAUUUUUUGGGAUUAGCGUUUCUAUACCACCGAGGAGGCCUUCAUACAACUUUUUAGAACUUUUGUCAACUUUUGGGUUUGGGUCAAUUUUUAAACCAUUUGUUUGUGUUGACUUGUUUGGCCAUCUGUGUGGCUUAUGUAAUAUUUUUGCAUGGGAUCCAUAUGCUACAUUCUUUAUAGAUGUUAGUAAGUGACUUUGCUUACUUCUCAAACAAUAUGAUGUCAUGAAAUACUUUCUAGAGGAUCUGCAUCGGAGGCUCUUAAGUGCUAACUUAAAAAAUCAAGGUGAUGGCAUUGAGAUGUUGCAGAAGGUUCUUUCAACAUAAAUUCUAGUUUUGAUUGUGUAACUUAUAUAGGCUCUUCCUCCAUGGAUGGGAGGUGAUUGAAGUCUUAGAUAUACUCUGGUUUGUGUUAAGGUUUCGUGAAUCCGACACAUCAUGCUUAUUAAAGGUACUUGAAUUUCUUCCCGGGCUUCUGGAUCUGUUGAAAAAUGAAGGCUACACUAUGACAGAAGCAGAGGCAACCCAUCUAUAUGUGAUAAUUUUUGGAGAUAUGUUGGGAAGCUUACUGAGGAACAAAGAAGUAUGUUGGAUGAUAGAAAUAAAUUGAAGAGAUGGAGAAGAGGAAGGAAGGCAUGCCUGGUGAAACUAGAGCGACCUAAGACCCUCCGUGCGAGAAAAUGUGUCUGAUCCAGCUGAUCAAAGUGGGGACUUAUCAAGACCCGUGGGGCAUCCCAACAUUCAAUCUGUAUUGAUACUUUUAUGUACUGAAUUACUAAUUGUCUAUAAUCAACACCACUAUCCAUACUGAUUUGCUAUUUUUCCUUGAACCCAUUAUCUCUUAAUAGAUUAUAGAUGUGUUCACUUUCUACUGAAUAACUAUUUGUCUAUAAUCAACACCAUUAUCCAAAAUGAUUUUCUAUCCAAACCGAACUUGCAUCUACAAAAAUGUUGAUCCUGGAUAUUUCAGAAGUUUGUUGAACAUUAAAGAAGCUUAUGGAGAUGUAAACAUUGUUUUUGCAGUUGACGCUAUUCAAGCAUUAGGAGAAAUUGAAGGAGAAGAAACCUACUUCAACGGAGGCCCUUACCCAAACUCUUCAGGCAAUGCACAAGUCCGGAUGCUUGAGUCUAACUGACAUUGUUGAAGGCAUGAUCUACCUUUAUUUCAGUUCUGAACUGUUUGUUUAACCUCUGAAUAAUAUCAUAUCAUUUCCUGGUGCUUAGAAGUAUCUUGUGUGGAAUAGCAUAGGGUUGACUCCCUAUUAUAUGCUAUUCCACACUUUGUGUGAAACCGAUGUGGGAUCGUAUCAAUCCAUCCCUCUUUUAAACCGGGUGGCAAACCCAAAGCCACGGGCCCACCAUCCCUUUGCUGCCCUUUUCCUUCCGGCCCACAUUUUUCGGUGGCACCCCUUUGGUCACUCCUACGGGUAGCCCCUUUCAGUAGGACAUCCGGAUCCAUGUUCACCGCACCAAAUUGAUAAGCAUAUAAGAUAGGAAGCCCUAACUUAACCCAAAACCAUGGUCAAAGGUAAAAGGUUGACUCCCUAUUAUAUGCUAUUCCACACUUUUUGUGUGAAACCGAUGUGGGAUUGUAUCAGUUUGACUCCAUCCUCACUGGUGCCUCUUAAGAUCUUGUAAAUGAUACUACGAUGCAGACUUUUCAGAGCAAGAGGUUUGCUUAUGCAGUUAAGGAGAGUACCCUGAUAGUCUUUUCAUGGAACUGUUGCUCUGGGUUUUGGAUGAUAAGUUCCGGAGAUGGAUGAUGGAAGUCUUGAACGUUCUGGUGUUAAAGAUUCUGGAUAACCCAGGACGGCGUCAUCAUUUCAUGUGCUUAUAAAUCUGUUAAGACCUCUGGAUCCAUCAAGAUGUCCAUCUCCAGCAUCAAAUGAUUCUCUUGCGAUCAGAAACCUGAAGUUCUCUUAUUUGGUUGUUAAAUGUUUAAUAAAGCUCCUAAAGGUAUUAAUAUCUUGAUCUGCUUUAACUUGUUGGUUUUAAUUUUUAUUUUAAUUAUAUAGUUUUUUUUAUCA